CCUACGGGAGGCAGCAGUAGGGAAUAUUGGACAAUGGGGGAAACCCUGAUCCAGCAACGCCGCGUGAGUGAAGAAGUAUUUCGGUACGUAAAGCUCUAUCAGCAGGAAAGAAAAUGACGGUACCUGACUAAUAAGCACCGGCUAACUACGUGCCAGCAGCCGCGGUAAUACGUAGGGGGCAAGCGGUAUCCGGAUUUACUGGGUGUAAAGAGAGCGUAGGCGGCAGAGCAAGUCUGGUGUGAAAUGCCGGGGCCUAACCCCGGAACUGCUCUGGAAACUGUGAAGCUGGAGUGCAGGAGAGGUAAGUGGAAUUCUUGGUGUAGCGGUGAAAUGCGUAGAGAUCAGGAGGAACACUCGUGGCGAAGGCGGCCUACUGGACUGUAACUGACGUUGAGGCUCGAAGGCGUGGGGAGCAAACAGGAUUAGAUACCCCGGUAGUC
rnacentral:rRNA from 1 species